AUGCUUCGUUCGCUAACGGGGAUCAAUCUCAGAGACAAUGAGGGGCUGACUGGCAAGGUUCCUGAGUUCUUUGCUGAGUUUCCUUCCUUGAGCAUUCUUUAUAUUCCAGGAACUUCGUUUAAAGGGCAGUUUCCAACAAAAAUCUUUGAGAUGAAAAGUUUGAGGAUGCUAGAUUUAUCUUGGAACCCCAAUUUGUCUGUGUGUGUACCAGGUUUGCCAGUUGGAAGUAGUAAUUUGGAAGAGUUAAAUCUAGCAAUGGUCAACCUUACUUGUGAUAUAGCACCCUCACUUGCCAAUCUCAAGUCUCUGAAAAAUCUGGGCCUUAGUACAACAGGAAUUUCCAAGAGGCUCUCUUCGAUAAAUAACCUUCCAUUGUUGAGUGAACUGCAACUCUAUGGACAUGACUUUGAGAAGUCAGUGUUUUCUUGGAUUGGCAGUCUUAAGCAGCUGACAUCUUUGGAGCUAGAAGGGUAUGAAUUCUCUCAAUCAGUGCCCUCUUGGAUCGGCAAUAUGUCAUCUUUAGCAAGUUUGGAAAUCUUUGGAUGCAAUUUCCCUGGGCCCAUACCUUACCAGAUUGGCAUAUUUGGAGCUAGAAGGGUAUGA
rnacentral:rRNA from 1 species